AUUGAACGCUGGCGGCAGGCCUAACACAUGCAAGUCGAACGAGUGGCGGACGGGUGUGUAAUGUUUGGGGAACCGCCUGCUGGAGGGGGUUAGCUUAGGGAAACGGUAGCUAAUAACGCCUACCAUCGGAGGUGCCCAGAUGGGAGUAGCUAGUAGGUGGGGUAAAGGCGCAUCUAUGCGACGAUCCCUAGCUGGUCUGAGAGGAUGACAAGCCACACUGGAACUGAGACACGGGCCAGACUCCUACGUGAGGCAGCAGUGGGGAAGAGUGCACAAUGGGCGCAAGCCUGAUACAGCCAUGCCGCGUGGAUGAAGAAGGCAUGCGGGUUGUAAAGUACUAUCAGCGGUGAGGCGUUAGCCGGAGAAGAAGCACCGGCUAACUCCGUGCCAGCAGCCGCGGUAAUAC
rnacentral:rRNA from 1 species